CUUCCCGACAUCUUGCAGCGGACUGUGCCUUACAGGCUGCGGGAGGGGAGAGUGUCUCCCCACGCCGGGGUCCCGGCCUCUGGGUUUUAGGGAGCGCGAAUGGGUCUCCGAGAGCAUCGGGAGCAGCCGGUGGCGCCUCAGGCUGCGGUGGCCACGAGCCCGACUGCACUACGGCGUUGCGGGACCGCGCCAGCGCGGAGGAGACCGAGCCCAUCUCAGCGCGCCUGGCCGGACCCAGGCCUCUGACCUCAUCGACCAAGAACCUGCCAGAGUUCAUUCCGGAGUCCCACCAACAGGUGCUCAGCAGAAUCUGCACUGAGGAGCAUUGGAAAGAUCUGACCCACCUGCCAACAUCCUACCAGAACCCGAAAGUCACCAAUUGGGAUUUAUGUCUUUGGAUCCUGAAGUUUUAACCAUUGACAAUGUUGAAUUUUACCUGAGCCCUGUGCUUCUGGAAAAGAGGGAAGGUCAAGACAUCCCCCACUGUCUUAAGCAAUUCAGGCUGCUAUAGCAAAAAAUAUCGCAGACUGGGUGGCUUAAACAGCAAACAUUUAUUUCUCACGGUUCUGGAGGCUGGAGGUCUGAGAUCAGGGUGCCAGCAUGGCUGGGUUCUGUUGAGGAACCUCUUCCUGGUUACAUCUUCACACGGCCUUUCCCUGGUAGGUGCACCCAGGAAAAGAGAUCUCAUGUCUUCUUCUCUUUUUAUAAGAGCACUAAUCCCAUCAUGGGGGCUCUAACCUGGUCCCACCUCCAAAUACCAUUACUUUGGGGAUUAAUAUUUCAACAUAUGAAUGAGGGGGAGGGCACAAACAUCCUUUUGUGUUGUGGAAAAUGGUUUACCACAAAAAACCACCCUUCCCCAUAUGACUGAGAAAAGACUCACAGAUACCUCCUUGCUUAUCUAUGACAAGGCUAGACACAGACCUUUCAAAUUCCAAUUUUUUGCUUCAUAAACGAACUGUUAUGAACUGUUACGAAGGACAUAGGACAAAAUAAGAAGUUAACCAAACUUGGCUGGAUGUGGUGGCUCACACCUGUAAUUCCCAGCACUUUGGGAGGAUGAGGCAGAUGGAUUACUUGAGGUCAGGAGUUCGAGACCAGCCUGGCCAACACAGCAAAACACCUUUCUACUAAAAAUACAAAAAUUAGCCAGGCAUGGUGGUGCACACCUGUAGUCCCAGCUACUUGGGAGGCUGAGACAGGAGAACUGCUUGAACUCAGUGGGUGGAGGCUGCAGUGAGCCGAGAUCACACCACCACACUCCAGCCUGGGUGACAGAGCAAGACUGUCUCAAAAAUAAAAGUAAAAAAAGAAGAAGAAGUUAACUUGGUUAAAAUUCUCUCCUUCCCACAAGCCUCUGAACUUUGACCCACUCUCAGCCUCAACCAGCAGACAGCCCCUCCAGAGAACAGGCUGACCUCAGGGUAAAAUGUUCUCUGAUGUACUAUCUGGUCGUGUCAUUGUUUCAUCCCACUUCCCCACACCACAGUUCUUUCUAGUUUUGUUUAUUCCUCUUUAUAAAACCCUUAUUCGCCUAACUCCUGAGACAACCACAAAUCUUAUGGUCAGUAUUUCUCCCUAUUGCAACAGUCAGUCCCCCAGUUCUCAUUUCC
rnacentral:lncRNA from 1 species